rnacentral:rRNA from 1 species
UACGUAGGUGGCAGGCGUUGUCCGGAUUUAUUGGGCGUAAAGCGCGCGCAGGCGGUCCUUUAAGUCUGAUGUGAAAUCUUGCGGCUUAACCGCAAGCGGUCAUUGGAAACUGGGGGACUUGAGUACAGAAGAGGAAAGCGGAAUUCCACGUGUAGCGGUGAAAUGCGUAGAGAUGUGGAGGAACACCAGUGGCGAAGGCGACUACCUGGCCUGUUCUUGACGCUGAGGCGCGAAAGCUAGGGGAGCAAACGGG